CUGCAAUGAUGACUAACUUAGGACACCUUUGAUGUAUUCAUGAAGAGAAUUAAGUACCUUCUGAGUAGC